CUCUGAAAAAGAGGGAAGUAUUUCUUCUUUAUAUUAUUACAACAUAGUUGUAAAUCGAGUUUCGUUUAUUUUCGUUCUUAUUUUUGUAAAGUAAACUCCUUUUCAUGCAUUUUGCUGGGUUUUUAUAUUUGACUGGUGAUAUUAAGGGGAGAUAACCACUUGCACAAAUCGGCAUAAAAACCACCGCUUCGUAUCGAAAAUAACUUGACGUUUGCGUAUCCAACAUUUUAUUGCCGAGAUAUUUAUAUCGAGUGUUUGUCUUAAUGAGAUGCUUUAUUAAAUUUAAAUUCAGCCCAUCAUUUUUAAUUUCCUCGUAAAUAUUUAGAUUUUUCGAUCAGGAG
rnacentral:lncRNA from 1 species